CCUACGGGUGGCAGCAGUGAGGAAUAUUGGUCAAUGGACGCAAGCCUGAACCAGCCAUGCCGCGUGCAGGAAGACGGCCCUAUGGGUUGUACACUGCUUUUGUACGGGGGUAAAGGCAGACACGUGUGCCUUUCUGUAUGUACCUUAUGAAUAAGGAUCGGCUAACUCCGUGCCAGCAGCCGCGGUAAUACGGAGGAUUCGAGCGUUAUCCGGAUUUAUUGGGUUUAAAGGGUGCGUAGUUGGUCGGUUAAGUCAGUUGUGAAAUCCCGAGGCUCAACUUCGGAAUUGCCAUUGAUACUGUCAGGCUAGAGAGUAGUUGCGGUAGGCGGAAUGUGUGGUGUAGCGGUGAAAUGCUUAGAGAUCAUGCAGAACACCGAUUGCGAAGGCAGCUUACUAAGCUACUACUGACGUUGAGGCACGAAAGCGUGGGGAGCAAACAGGAUUAGAUACCCCUGUAGUC
rnacentral:rRNA from 1 species